CGGCUGAGUAACGCGUGGGAACGUGCCCCAAAGUGAGGGAUAAGCACCGGAAACGGUGUCUAAUACCGCAUAUGCUCUUCGGAGUAAAGCUUUAUGCGCUUUGGGAGCGGCCUGCGUCCGAUUAGAUAGUUGGUGAGGUAAAGGCUCACCAAGUCGACGAUCGGUAACUGGUCUGAGAGGAUGAUCAGUCAGACUGGAACUGAGACACGGUCCAGACUCCUACGGGAGGCAGCAGUAAGGAAUCUUCCACAAUGGGCGAAAGCCUGAUGGAACAACGCCGCGUGCAGGAUGAAGGCCUUCGGGUCGUAAACUGCUUUUAUAAGUGAAGAAUAUGACGGUAACUUAUGAAUAAGGAUCGGCUAACUACGUGCCAGCAGCCGCGGUCAUACGUAGGAUCCGAGCGUUAUCCGGAGUGACUGGGCGUAAAGAGUUGCGUAGGUGGUCAGUAAGGCGAAUGGUGAAAUCUGGGGGCUCAACCUCACAGACUAUUAUUCGAACUCACUGACUCGAGAACAGCAGAGGUAACUGGAAUUUCUGAAGUAGGGGUAAUAUCCGUAGAUAUCAGAAGGAACACCAAUGGCGUAGGCAGGUUACUGGGCUGUUUCUGACACUGAGGCACGAAAGCGUGGGGAGCGAACCGGAUUAGAUACCCGGGUAGUCCACGCCGUAAACGAUGGAUACUAGCUGUUGGAGGUAUCGACCCCUUCAGUAGCGAAGCUAACGCGUUAAGUAUUCCGCCUGUGGAGUACGGUCGCAAGACUAAAACGUAAAGGAAUUGACGGGGACCCGCACAAGCGGUGGAUCAUGUUCUUUAAUUCGAUGCUAAACGAAGAA
rnacentral:rRNA from 1 species